GUGUGUGCACUACUUUUGCCGGUCGGAUCGAAGAUUUCGUUUUUCGUCCAUCCCCGGACAACUCGGACGGUUCUGCGAAAAACCGCGCGUAAAUUAUCGGAGUAGUGUCGGAGACUACCCGGACGCCAUGCGUUUUUACGAGUUAACGUUUGUUCUGCAUAAUAAAAACUGCGUGUUUGAGUGAGUGCCUAACGGUCAUUGUUUAAGUGAGUGUGAUAUAGGUACGAUGCAAUCUAUUAUAGAAUAUUAAAUUGCACGCACAUAUUGUUCUUUCGCAUCAAAACACGAAGAGCGUUAUUAUAAUUGUACACGGUU